rfam:Vitrella brassicaformis CCMP3155 genome assembly, contig: scaffold38
GACUACGUGGCCUAAUGGAUAAGGCGUCCGGCUUCGGACCGGGAGAUUGCAGGUUCGAGUCCUGUCGUGGUCG